UGUGUGUGUGCAUGUGUGUUCAUCAGGGAAUGAACCAGUGGGGGGCUUCCACACAACUUGUGUCACCCCAGAGACGGCAAUUAAAAUGACUCUGGAAGGCGUGUGUGUGUGUGUGUGUGUGUGUGUGUGUGUGUGUUUACAUACAUAUGCCACUCUGCGUGUAAGUGGGUUUUUGUGAAAUCUCCCCAGUACUUUGUUGCUGUAAUAAGACCCAUGAAAUAUUAACAUGCUCCUCUGGCAGAAUGCUUCAUAAAUUGUAUUCAGAUACUCACCACUCUCGCUUUCUCAUAAUUUAGAAGGAAAAAACACAAGAUGAAAAACAGUUAUUUAAAUCCCACGGAUGCACCCAAAGAUCUUAAUAUCACUUUAGCAUAUUGCAAUAUUGCAAGAUGAACAGAACCUGGUUGUUAAGUUGAUCCUGAGACAUGCAGUGACCUUCCUCUGAAUCUCAAAUCAUGGCCGUAGCUUGAGAGAGAGUGAAUACUACAUUAUCAUCCCAUUGUUGACCAAAAUGAUAUGUCUCCAAGUCUAUUUCAGGUAAGAUGUAGUAUUUUUGUAUCUACAUGAAGGUGGUUAGAGUCAGAUGUAUCUGUAUGAAGGUGGUUAGAGUCAGAUGUAUCUGUAUGAAGGUGGUUAGAGUCAGAUGUAUCUGUAUGAAGAUGGUUAGAGUCAGAUGUAUCUGUAUGAAGGUGGUUAGAGUCAGAUGUAUCUGUAUGAAGGUGGUUAGAGUCAGAUGUAUCUGUAUGAAGUUGGUUAGAGUCAGAUGUAUCUGUAUGAAGUUGGUUAGAGUCAGAUGUAUCUGUAAGAAGGUGGUUAGAGUCAGAUGUAUCUGUAUGAAGGUGGUUAGAGUCAGAUGUAUCUGUAUGAAGGUGGUUAGAGUCAGAUGUAUCUGUAUGAAGAUGGUUAGAGUCAGAUGUAUCUGUAUGAAGGUGGUUAGAGUCAGAUGUAUCUGUAAGAAGGUGGUUAGAGUCAGAUGUAUCUGUAUGAAGGUGGUUAGAGUCAGAUGUAUCUGUAUGAUACAUCAUCUGUAUGAGUCAGAUGUAUCUGUGACACAAGCAGUACAGCUAGCUAAAUGUGAGUUAUGAUGAUGACAUUUUCUUGGUAGUUGUGGUGUAAGUACCUUUGUCAUUGUCGCACGGCUACACGCUUACAGUGUAGGCUGUUUUUUUUACACUCCUCUAAAGUAAUCAGGCUGGUUUUUAUUUUAUUUUAAUCACGGAUUGUACACACUGUAUAUAACCAACAUAACUCUUUGACAUGCACAUCACACUAAUGCAUACGCUGUUAGUGCGUAUCCCGUUGCCGCCUCUUUGGAACUGUACUAGCGAGCCUACUUAAAAUGAUCCUCAUUUUCUUUUCCCCCUCCUCCGUUUUCUCCUGGAGUCCCACUCACGGUCAGCUCUCCCCAACAAAGAACAGCUCCCAUCCAGGGAGGACGAAGUCUCACAAGUGCUUCCUUCCAAGACACGUGGAACCAGCCAUUCCCAUCUUUUCAUAACACACUCAAAGGGAAGCGCAAUUUUGCUGUCAGGCUUUGAAUUCACAAUCUCCGGACAAUGAGGCAGAUGCUUUUGUGUCGCACCACUGCUAUUUGGGCCGGCCCUCUUUCUGUGUUAUAAAAUGGAGUAAAAGGGUCAGCGAUAAGGGUUCUGCUAAAAUCUCAGACUGUAAUAAGACACUGUGUAAAGGAAGUGCGUCCGUGGCCAGCGUUCUGCUUGAAUACCUCAUGUGUUCACUGACACUGAAGUGCAAGUUAAGUGUGUCAACAUGACCGGGGACAUAAUUAACUUAAUAAAUAAUAAAUAACCAAGCCCAAGUGGAUGCACAAUGGGAAAGGGGUGUUUGCCAUGUGUGUGUGUGUGUGUGUGUGUGUGUGUUUACUGAGCCCAUGUGUGCAAGUGAUUUAGAUAAGCCUGUGUAAUUGCCCUCAUUACUGCCACUGUGUUUGAGUAGCUUUGCCGUUCAGGCCGUAGCGGGGAUUGAGUGUGCGCCGCAAAGAGGUGCUCGAGCUCGCACGCAAACAAGGCUGGCCACGCGUGGGUUCGUCGCUUCCCCACAGGCGCGCACACACGCAAACACGAUAACAACUCAACAUGAGGUUAGCAGCUCUGCUGCUCUAUAAUUUACAGCCUUUCCAUUCAGAUCUUCCUACACACGCACAAAUGCAGACACUCCUGCCGUCUGAGUGAUGGCCUGCUAGCUCCGAGCGCGUGUGCUUAAUGUCACUGAUGCCGGGUCUGGACAAACGCUACGGAGAAAUCACCAGCACGCAGCAAGCUUCGCUGUCCUCUCAUCAAUCCUCCGCUCUAUUUAUAACACAUCCGCAGCUGUGAACAGAAGGAGCAAGCAAUUUUCAAAACAGGGACAGGUAGGGAGCAGGCAUGGACAGGAACACAUUCGGACUGUUGGCUUAUAUCGAGUACUGAACAUCAUCUGGUUCUACAACUAACAAAUGCAACUAGUUUGUUGUUCUACAACAACUAACUUCAUUGGAACUGACAGGCGCAUAGGCAACGCCCUUUUCACUUGGACUGACAGACACAGAGGCAACACCCCAUUUAUUGGGACGAACAGGCACGGCAGUCUUUCAACAAGAUAGGCAGAUAGAGAAGCCACGCCUCGUUCACUAAGGCAGGCAAAACUAUCAGGCCAUGCCUCUUUUACUGGGAUGGAGAGGCACAGAGGCUAUUCCCACUUAAAUGGGACUGAGGCAUAGAGGCCACACCUCCUUCACUGGGACAGACAGACACAGAGGCCACACCUCCUUCACUUGGACUGACAAACACAGAGGCCACACCUCCUUCACUUGGACAGACAGACACAGAGGCCACACCUCCUUCACUGGGACUGACAGACACAGAAGCCACACCUUCUUCACUGGGACAGACAGACACAGAGGCCACACCUCCUUCACUGGGACAGACAGACACAGAGUCCACACCUCCUUCACUGGGACUGACAGACACAGAAGCCACACCUUCUUCACUGGGACAGACAGACACAGAGGCGAAACCUCCUUCACUGGGACAGACAAACACAGAGGCCACACCUCCUUCACUGGGACAGACAGCUACAGAGGCCACACCUUCUUCAAUGAGAUUGAAAGAUACAGACUCCACACCUCCUUCAAUGAGAUAGACAGAUACAGUGGCCACACCUCCUUCAAUUAGAUAGACAGACACAGAGGCCACACCUCCUUCACUGGGACUGACAGACACAGAGGCCACACCUUCUUCGAUGAGAUAAACAGAUACAGCGGCCACACCUCCUUCGAUGAGGGACAGAUACAGAAGCCCCUCUGGAAGACACCAGAAGCCUAAUAUGAGUAUUUUACACUAGACCCUAUAUAACUCCACUACACCCUACAUCACUUAUACAUAUAGCCCUUUUCACCCCAGGCUUAGAGCACUUGGUAGCGUUUUUUUACUGUGCUGAGGACGGACAUUUUUCACACUCUUUAUUGUUAAUAAACCAGCUUUAAUUAGGCUAUUUUCUAUGUCAUGUUUUGCUUCUGUGUCGCUGUUUCUGUUUCUGUGUAGCUGCUUGUUUUGUUUUGUUUUGUUUUUUAUUAAGUAGUCCAACAACAUUUUGUAAGACAGCAUUAAUAUUUGAUGCGCAGGAUGUUAAUGGUGUUGGCAACAUUUUGGCAAGACUUUCUUGAUAGUUGUCUCGGCGAACGCUCCUGCCUCAUCCUGUUUAUUGUAUGUACAUUUGUAAUGCAAAUAGAGUCUAAUCUGUUGUUUAUCCUACAGCGCUGCAGUCCCAGAGCGAGGCUGUUUAAACUAUUUAGGUCGUUUAUUCCGAUGACAUUAUGCAGCUUAUAAAUCUCUUGUUUUUGUGUGUUGAUAUUAAUACUUCUUUAUUUAACAGAAAAUCUUUUAAGACAAAAUGUCUCUCAGAAGUAUUAAGAAUGAAUGUCCUCAGCACUCAAACGCAUUGUUUUUCUGCCACAUCCUGAUAAACCCUAAACCCU
ensembl:lncRNA